UAAGCUUCAAACUGGGAUUAGAUACCCCACUAUUGUCUACUGUAAAUUAAUUACAUUUACCUGAGUACUAUGAAUACAAAAAAUUUAAAACUCAAAGGGCUUGGCGGUGUUCUAGACCACUUAGGGGAACCUGUCUCGUAAUCGAAAAUCCACGUUAUACCUAACCUUUUUUUGUAUUCAGUCUGUAUACCGUCGUCGUCAGGUAACUUUGAAAAACAUAGAAGUUGGCUAAAAAAUUAUAAUAAAUUUAGACGUCAGAUCAAGGUGCAACCCACAAAAAGGAGAGGAUGGGUUACAAUUAAAAGUUAUAAUACGGAAAGGAGGUUGAAAUUUCCAGCUAUAAGGAGGACUUAAAAGUAAGAAUCUGAUUAUACAAAUUUUCUGAAUUUGGCUCUGGAACGUGCACACACCGCCCGUCACCCUCUGCAGUCAA
rnacentral:rRNA from 1 species